rnacentral:lncRNA from 1 species
UACACUAUUACUAUAGAAGAAUUGGUAUUGCUAUUUACUCGUAUACUUUUGACUAUUCACAUGGUAUAUAUUCUUUCAUUUUAUCUAAAUUUAUAUGAGAGUUUAUUAUCCUAGAAAUUCAGCUAACAUUUGAUUAUCAAGAAACACAACCUAAUUACAGGUAAUGACAGAGAGCCUGAUAUUUUCGUAAACCAACAUUUAGCGUAGUAAAUUGGUUGACUGGAAGAUUUAUUCCCUUCAAUCCGGUUCAAGUGAAAAAUUCAAUCAUAUUUAAGAGGGAUUCAUUCGGUGCAACAGUAUUUUCAUCAACCGGUAAUAAAUCAUAUAUUGUCUGAAAAGUUUCAAAUCUUCUUUGUGCAAUAUCUUUGUUUUUAUGCGUUCCACUAAAAGCAUCCAAAAUCAGCGCAUUCCAAAAUAAAGGACUUUUGUCAAAUUGCGGCUGCAUAGAUUUUUGAAGGUACUCAACUGCCUUAGCAAGAUUUUCAGAGACUAGUUCAUGAAAGCUAAAUUAUGAUUAGUUGAUUGAUGUCGAUACUUAGUACAUACCGAUGCAAGUGUAACUGGAGAGACACAUUAGAUAGACAAUGCUUUAUCCCCCAACGAUCUAGAAUAUCUAGUUUCCAGAAAUCUGAAAGCUUCAUUGGUCUCAAAGGAUGCGUACUUGCAUUUCCACCCAUUAAAUAUAUAAUGUUUCUAUUCAAAUCAGCCGCGACUGCGUGUCCAAACCUUUUAAAAUUAAGCGUCAGAUGAUUUACCUUUUUCCCAAAGACAUACCUGGAACAAGGAUGUUCAUUUCCUUCUUCUUCAUUAAUAUCACUUAUUUUAACCCAUUCCUCUGUCGUUAUGUAAAAUAUCCAUAAACUUGGUCGAAGGACUUUGUGAAUGUUUCGCUGUUCAAAACCAAACAUAGUGAAAAUGCGAUGGUUUUUCGAAUCCAUAAUACUCCUUUGACAAAAUGAAGGACUUGGACUUUGGGAUGUAUCGUUUUUCCUAACAUGCUGCACAGCUUCUCUUGUUUCUAACUUAAUAUAACACAUGUCUAAGAUGAAUUCUUGAUCAUAGCUUUGACCACCGAAAAUAUAAAGUUUGUUCUCAUCAGGAAAAUAUUCCAUGCAAUGACCCAUCCUUUCAAUCUUAAACUCACAGUGUUUUUGACGAUCCUCAUACCUGACAGCCAACUGUUCCCAAAUUCGAUUUUUCGUAUCAUAUGCAUAAAGUCCCUCGAAUACCAGUUCAUCUGGAUCCCAUUUACAUCCACCACUCACAUAUACAAUACCUCGCUUUUCGUCUACUGACAUUCCAUGGUCAAAAAUAGCGGCAGGCCCACCAUCUUUUGAAGUGUCAUAGGAUAAACAUGUCCAAACUUUUUUGCUAAUAUCAAAUUCCCAAAAAUCUGUCCUUGCAUCUGGGGGCACCUCGGUUUCCCUAGAUGAGCCAAAGUAAUUCCCAAGUAGAUACAGCUUUUGUUGGCUAGUAUCAAUGACCAUUCUGUGACAAACCCUCUCACCAGGAAUUCUAAUACGUUAAUGGAUAGAUUCUUUCUAAAAAAUGACAUACCCAUAUUCAUUCUCCAUAAUCCAUAAAUCUUUAUCAACAUUGUAAAUCCAAAAAUCAGAAAAUGUUUUGACACCAUCCCAGCCGCCGUAUAAAUAAAUACAAUUGUCCUGUAUGAGGAUAACUGUUAAUACAAUAAAAUAUCGAAAAAAUCUAAGGUACCUUUGGAUUGUAAACCAUUUGAUGACCGCUUCUUCUACUUAUUCCUUUCAAAAAUGUAGCUAUUCUAUGCGACCGUAAUUUGGUUAAUUUAUGCUUUGGCCAUUUCUCAAUAAUUUCAGCUUGAAGUUCUUGUUGAAACAGAAGAAUGGUUUUUUGAGUGUCUCCUAGUCUGCAAAAUGCAUCAUACAUUCUCAUUAAGGGUGAAUGUGGUAUGGAAAGCUGGUAGCUUUGAAGUAUCACAGAACAUAUAUCAAGUUUCCCUUUAAAAGCAAAGUAAGAGAGAAGGCAAUUGAGUGCCUUUUUUUCUAGAUGUAAAGCUCUGUUCUUCUCUGUGCAUGAUAAAGCGCUGGCUGAGUCAAUGCCGUGUAAAGCAACAUACCAUAUACUCAUGUUAAAUUCAUGAGCAUGAGCUUGAAGUGGAACAAUUUUGAUAUACUUACAAGCAAUUGAAUUCUCAAUUUUGUUAUAUUUCUUGAUACACAAUGGAAAUGUUUCUCGAUUUGAAUCAUUUGUCAAUCCAGCUCUUAAUAAAGGGAACAUCAAAUGCUGUUCACGCCCCCCAUAUACUAUAAAACUUAAAACUGUUAGAGGAAGAAAAAAAAAAUAAACCGCUUACUCUUUAAGGUUGCAAAGAUGGGGAGUGUGGAAUUUCCCAAAGGUGAUAUCGGUAACCAACGCAAGUUUAUCAAGUUUCAGAAUUACAUACUGUUCUUCAGAGUUGUUGGGUUUACAUAUUGAAGUAUUACAGCUCCAUCGGCUGUUAGCCUGGUGUGGAUUAUCGAUAAGUAUAUUGAUAGGAUGAAAUGCUCCAGAAUAGCUGGACCAGCUUUGAAUGGUAUAAGACAAUUCUUUACGUUCCAUUUAAAGAAUCAAUAAUUAUCUUCGUCUGACCGCUA